CCUACGGGAGGCAGCAGUGAGGAAUAUUGGUCAAUGGGCGCUAGCCUGAACCAGCCAAGUAGCGUGAAGGAUGACUGCCCUAUGGGUUGUAAACUUCUUUUAUAUGGGAAUAAAGUGCAGUAUGUAUACUGCUUUGCAUGUACCUUAGGAAUAAGGAUCGGCUAACUCCGUGCCAGCAGCCGCGGUAAUGCGGAGGAUUCGAGCGUUAUCCGGAUUUAUUGGGUUUAAAGGGAGCGUAGGCGGGUUGUUAAGUCAGUUGUGAAAGUUUGCGGCUCAACCGUAAAAUUGCAGUUGAUACUGGCAUCCUUGAGUACAGUAGAGGUAGGUGGAAUUCGUGGUGUAGCGGUGAAAUGCUUAGAUAUCACGAAGAACCCCGAUGGCGAAGGCAGCUUACUAGACUGUGACUGACAUUGAUGCUCGAAAGUGUGGGUAUCAAACAGGAUUAGAUAACCGUGUAGUC
rnacentral:rRNA from 1 species